rnacentral:rRNA from 1 species
UUUCGCAUGCCCGAAAGGGUGACGAUGCGACGCCGCGUGGAGGAUGAAGGCCUUCGGGUUGUAAACUCCUGUCAGGGCAAAAGAAGGGGAGGGGAGGAAACUCCCUGACCUUGACUCAGCCCAAAGGAAGUCCCGGCUAACUCCGUGCCAGCAGCAGCGGUAAGACGGAGAGGGCGAGCGUUGUUCGGAAUUACUGGGCGUAAAGAGCGCGUAGGCGGGUCCGUAUGUCAGGGGUGAAAGCCCCCGGCCCAACCGGGGAAUUGCCUCUGAAACUGCGGUCCUCGAGUGGAGCAGGGGGGAGUGGAACUCUCGGUGGAGCGGUGAAAUGCGUUGAUAUCGAGGGGAACGUCGGCGGCGAAGGCGACUCCCUAUGCUUCUACUGACGCUGAGGUGCGAAAGCCAGGGGAGCGAACGGGAUUAGAUACCCCGGUAGUCCUGGCCUUAAACGGUGGGCACUAAGUAGAGGGGUUUUAAUCUC